UGCCAGACUCCUACGGGAGGCAGCAGUGGGGAAUAUUGCACAAUGGGGGAAACCCUGAUGCAGCGACGCCGCGUGAGUGAAGAAGUAUCUCGGUACGUAAAGCUCUAUCAGCAGGGAAGAUAAUGACGGUACCUGACCAAGAAGCCCCGGCUAACUACGUGCCAGCAGCCGCGGUAAUACGUAGGGGGCAAGCGUUAUCCGGAUUUAUUGGGUUUAAAGGGUGCGCAGGCGGAAGAUCAAGUCAGCGGUAAAAUUGAGGGGCUAAACCUCUGCGAGCCGUUGAAACUGGUUUUCUUGAGUGAGCGAGAAGUAUGCGGAAUGCGUGGUGUAGCGGUGAAAUGCAUAGAUAUCACGCAGAACUCCGAUUGCGAAGGCAGCAUACCGGCGCUCAACUGACGCUCAUGCACGAAAGUGUGGGUAUCGAACAGGAUUAGAUACCCCGGUAU
rnacentral:rRNA from 1 species